rnacentral:lncRNA from 1 species
UUUUUAGGAAACACGAAGGACUUUGCAAGGAUGAUAUUUCCUUCCCUUUAAUAUUUAUCCAUUCCCUUGGUAACGAAUUAUCCUGAAGCUGAUCUAUCAUUAUGGAACCAGAGGAAGCAAAGAAGUCUAAAACAACACUCAAGGAACCAAUGGGAAAUUCUCUACAAGCAGGACUAAGAAGACAUUCUUUUGGUUUUCUUUGGUAUGUUUUUUUUU